rnacentral:precursor_RNA from 14 species
AAUCUAUUACGGUAUGUAGGUCUGAGUGGUGUUCAUCUUCACUGACUGCGCAGAUCUAUGUAAGUUGUACUGCGUGGUCAGUCUUGAUGAAAACCACUUGGGUCAAAUGUGGCAGCUGUCAGCC